rfam:Lactobacillus amylolyticus DSM 11664 contig00033, whole genome shotgun sequence.
UAUUUAAAGUAAAUUCUACCUAAGACUCGGGUGGCAUGACGCCUCAAAAUCCCGCCGAGGCCAGAAGAUAAUGAAGAUUUUAAUGCUCCAUGUCUUUCGGCAUGGAGUUUUUUAGGCCUUAUA